rnacentral:rRNA from 1 species
GCGGCGUGCUUCAUACAUGCAAGUCGAACGAGAAGCAGGAGCUUGCUCCUGUGGAAAGUGGCGGACGGGUGAGUAACACGUAGGAAAUCUGCCUUUGGGUGGGGGACAACAGUUGGAAACGACUGCUAAUACCCCAUAUGAGCUUGGUUGCAAUACCAAUCUUGCAAACUCCGGUGCCUAAAGAUGAGCCUGCGUCUGAUUAGCUUGUUGGCGGGGUAAUGGCCCACCAAGGCGACGAUCAGUAGCUGGUUUGAGAGGAUGAUCAGCCACAAUGGGACUGAGACACGGCCCAUACUCCUACGGGAGGCAGCAGUAGGGAAUUUUGCGCAAUGGGGGAAACCCUGACGCAGCAACGCCGCGUGAAUGACGAAGCCCCUCGGGGUGUAAAGUUCUGUCAGUAGGGAAGAAUUUUGACUGUACCUACAAAGGAAGCACCGGCUAACUCCGUGCCAGCCGCCGCGGUAA